UGUCCACAGUGAGGAGCCACGACAUC
rnacentral:piRNA from 1 species